AAAUUGAAGAGUUUGAUCAUGGCUCAGAUUGAACGCUGGCGGCAGGCCUAACACAUGCAAGUCGAACGGUAACAGGAAGCAGCUUGCUGCUUCGCUGACGAGUGGCGGACGGGUGAGUAAUGUCUGGGAAACUGCCUGAUGGAGGGGGAUAACUACUGGAAACGGUAGCUAAUACCGCAUAACGUCGCAAGACCAAAGAGGGGGACCUUCGGGCCUCUUGCCAUCGGAUGUGCCCAGAUGGGAUUAGCUAGUAGGUGGGGUAACGGCUCACCUAGGCGACGAUCCCUAGCUGGUCUGAGAGGAUGACCAGCCACACUGG
rnacentral:rRNA from 1 species